GCAACAGCAACAGCAACAUUAUCAGGCGGCACACAAAACGCUGAGCCAGCGUGUUGCCAGAUGGAAGAAGUCACCUCAGAGAUGUCAUCACUUAAUCCCGAAGCACUGGAGAUUUCUCCAGGCAGCGUUGUUGUUUCAGAGACUCUCAGUGCUGCCAAAUCACGCAAACCAGACAUGAAAAAGAGAGACACUCGACCGAGCCCAUUCAAAUUGCCGGACAGCAAUAGCAUGUUCCUGCUGAGUGUUAAUGAAAAAGCGAACCGAAAAGAGGAGAUGCGUAAAUUCCUGGCUUUGCCAAUUAAUGAGAAGACCACCCACACUGCUCGAAUGAUGGCCAAGUUGAGGAAAGAGCUGCAAGAACAAGUGGAGGAGGAGGAGGAGGAAGAGGAGGAGGGAGAAGAAGAAAGGGAGAAGAUAAAGAGUCUCAAACAAAACAGGAGUAAGACAGUUUUCCCUCAACAGACAUCCACCAGACAUGAGCUGAAGAUGGCCAUGAUGAAACGAGAAAACAUUGCAAAAGACAGCAAACAUGACUUGAUCUCCAUGGAACGGCAGAAAGCAGUAUUGGAGCUGUCUCUGGUGAUGAAAAGGUCAGAGAUUUUGAAGAUGGACAAAAUCAUUGCAAAGGAAGACAGACAGCUGAGGCAGCUGGCAGAGAACAUCGAGAGAGACAACCUGAAAUUUGAGGAGUUCCUCAGGGAGAACGAGAAGAAGUCUGUGGAGGCCAGAACAUUCUUUGAACAGGAGGCAAAGGCCAAACAGGAGAAGAAUGCUGAGAUCAAGAAACUGACUGCUGGAAUAGGAACCGUAACAAGUGAGAUUGCCAAGUUUGAAGAUAUCCUGAUAGACUACAAGAGGUACAAGGAGCUGCUGUUUGAGUUGUCUCCUCCAGAGUGGCAGGAGGCCCAGAAGACCAAAGCUCUGAAAAACAAGGAUCUGUCUGAAGGAGAAGCUCAGGAGAAGGACAGGGAGUUUGAGGAGUCAGCUGUUAGGAAGGGUUUGGAGAUGGAGGUGUACGGUCCAGGCCGAGAGCUGGCGUCCAUCACAGAGACCGGGAUGUCCUCAGCCAACAGCGACGCAGUGAUCACAAUUUCCAAACUGGAUAGUGGCCACUCAGAAUUUGAGGAGGAUCCGGAGCUGUACUUCUCUGACCCCCAGCAGCUGAUGAAUCUGGUGACGGAGCUGACGGAGCAGAUCUUGUCUCUGAUUCAGAACUCUACGAGGGUGGAGGAGACUCUGGAAAAACUCAAGCAGUCCAUGGACACGACCAGCAAGAAGAUUGAAAAGGACAAAGAGCAGCUGACCCUGCAGAUCAACGACAUGAAACAGAGAAUCGAUGUAGAGAAGGAAAGAGGCGCCAAGCUCGGACAGAAGGUUGAGCUCCAUGUGAUUCUGAAGACAGAAGACCAGGACGUCGUGUUGGAUGAUCUGGGGGACAAGGUGGACGAGGUCCAUCGCUGCUGCGUGGACGACAGAAUCACCAACCUUAGCACCUUGGAGAAGCUGGCCAAUAUCGAGUACCGCAUAGCUUUACUGCUGCAGAGCCUCGAGAGCAUCCCUGAGGACAGCUUAGAGAUGAUGAAGAAGAUCAAGGGCAGUGAGAGAAGGAGCAGGCAGCGUGAAGAAAAGCUGAGAGAGCAGAGAGAGAAACAGCAGGAGAGGAUGAGGAGGUACCUGGAGAGAUCUCUGGCUGACUCCAAGAAAAUAACUGGGAGAAAGCUCGUGCCCAGAUGCAAACCUGUUGCCCAGAAAGUCAGAGUCAGCAAUGUGGACAACACGCCUGCUGAAGACGAGCUGUAUGCCUACCUCUUCAGCCCCGAUGACAUAGACUAGACUCGAGGAAACAAAUCUAAGCUAUAAUCCAUCCAACACAACAGUUGAGGAGUGAAAAUAUUUCACAAUAUAAUCAUAAUUACUUGCCUACACCACAUCAUGACAUAAAACCAGAUAGAUUUCAUUAAUCAUUAGCUGAAAUGUUAACACAACAUUAUCAUGCAUUAUAGUGUGACUCGAGCAAUGAAGUUUAUGUGUAAGAGAAUCAUGUAAAGAAUAAUAAGUCUGAUUGCAAUGAGUGCCUGGUUGUAUAACUGUUGUGAAAUAGAACAUUUUAGAUAAUUUAAACCAUAUACAUAAUCAUUUAUAAAGCAUGCUUUCCUACUACAAAUCUGUUACUGACUUUAUAGGAAAGACUUUGUCACUUCCUAAAUUCAAUCUCGACACAUUUGUAAGACAAUUUAGGAUGUUACAUUUUCCCUAUAAAAUAA